AGGAAGCAGGGUGAGAGCAGAGCUGGGGACCCUCCCGAAGAGGAUCUGCACUACGCCUCGGUGACUGCAAGGGGACGUCCCCAGCCCCUGAGAGAACAUGUCACAACGUACGCCAGCAUCGUGCCGCCGAGGGAGCCACCUUGCUAGCUCGCCGGGACCAUGCCGUGGCACGGGGGAGCAGCACGGCGAGGAAGGGCUGCGCCCUGUCACUCUGCAAGACCCAAAGCUCAGUGCAUGCUGGUGGCAGCUGGUUCCCAACAGCACCUGGGGCGCCGAGCUGGCUCUGCUUUGCGCUUCUUGGGUCUCUGCCCAGGUUUGCUGCAGGAAGGAAGCUCUUCUUCACCUUCACCUUGUACCUGGUGUGGGGUCUUCAGUGGGAGUGUGCACCGCUGCUAACGGUGCAGGUUUUUUCAUGCUCCAAAUGCUGAAGACCCUGGAAGCCUUCUGCGCCUGCCAGGUUGUCCUUUCAGGUGCUCCGCUUAGAGCUCAGAUGCUGCCAUGCAAGGCGGCUGCACCACAGCACGUCCUGAAGGAGACCUUUUCCACCUGGCAACCUCCUGGUGCCCCUUUGUGGGGGCCUGCAAGGAUUCCCAGCUGCUUUUCCUCUCUUCCUACCCUCUCCAUACUGGGGAU